CACCGGCUAACUCCGUGCCAGCAGCCGCGGUAAUACGGAGGGUGCGAGCGUUAAUCGGAAUUACUGGGCGUAAAGCGCAUGCAGGCGGUCUGUUAAGCAAGAUGUGAAAGCCCGGGGCUCAACCUCGGAACAGCAUUUUGAACUGGCAGACUAGAGUCUUGUAGAGGGGGGUAGAAUUUCAGGUGUAGCGGUGAAAUGCGUAGAGAUCUGAAGGAAUACCGGUGGCGAAGGCGGCCCCCUGGACAAAGACUGACGCUCAGAUGCGAAAGCGUGGGGAGC
rnacentral:rRNA from 1 species